CCUACGGGUGGCAGCAGUGGGGAAUAUUGGGCAAUGGGCGCAAGCCUGACCCAGCAACGCCGCGUGAAGGAAGAAGGCUUUCGGGUUGUAAACUUCUUUUCUCAGGGACGAAGCAAGUGACGGUACCUGAGGAAUAAGCCACGGCUAACUACGUGCCAGCAGCCGCGGUAAUACGUAGGUGGCAAGCGUUAUCCGGAUUUACUGGGUGUAAAGGGCGUGUAGGCGGGAAAGCAAGUCAGAUGUGAAAACCAUGGGCUCAACCUGUGGCCUGCAUUUGAAACUGUUUUUCUUGAGUACUGGGGAGGCAGACGGAAUGCCUAGGGUAGCGGUGAAAUGCGUAGAUAUUAGGAGGAACACCAGUGGCGAAGGCGGUCUGCUGGACAGCAACUGACGCUGAGGCGCGAAAGCGUGGGGAGCAAACAGGAUUAGAUACCCCAGUAGUC
rnacentral:rRNA from 1 species